GGCAACACAGCGACGCCUAAAGUGUUUCUCUUCUUACAGCAGCGACAGUCGGUCGAUAACACUUUAUUUAAAUUUUGGACGAAAUGAUUGGAAAAUGCUAAGCCUACGAAGUGCUACGUUGGGCCUAGACUAAAUAACUACUGUCAAAUACUCAUCCAAUUGCGCCAUUGAUGGAAAUAGCAUUCAAAAGGGAAGCACGAUUCAAAUAAAACAAUUACUAGACAAGGAGAUCAAUUGGCAUGAUGUAAAAACCGGUUUGUACAAUACGGAGUUGAAUYGAGCUGAACUGUGCACUGGGGGAAAGGUGUAACAGGUGCAAAAAGAAGCAUAAACGAAGAGGCUAUAGAUUAAAGAGCGAUGUAUAUAAACAUUUCAAACCAAUAGACAGACACAAUUUGACUGACAGGCACGGGGGGGGGAGGACGACAAAAAUCAAAAGAAAUAAUUUAAUGAGGUAAGAAGAGAACUAGCUGAGUGGUUGGAUUCUACUAGAUAUGAUUAUUCUUCAUCUCUUCCUAGUAAUCUGAGUUUGCAGAAAAAGCAUGAAUUGAACAUAUUGGUGCAGUGAUAAAAUGUGGUCUACGUGUGAAGUAAUAUCGAAUCUAGUGUCACAGACGGUGUGGCGUGACUAAACUAGACCAAUUUAAUGACUUCGAUUUUUCAUCAAAACGAAUCUGUUUGACUGCAUGUAACCAAUCAAAUGAAAUUGGAUAAAAAUAGGAAGAGAACAAAUAAAGAAACUCCUAAUAAAUAGUAUCGAAUAAUCCAUCUAGAAGAUGAGUAUUGAUGACAUAUUCUUGAAAUAAUUGUGCCGGGUUUCUUAUAAGAGUAGUUUGAUUGGUGGAUCUUGUAUAGAUCAACUAUAUAAUGUAUGAAUGAUUAUCAUGCAAAAUGAACAGCGCAACUGUUUUAUAUUGAUCGCACAAAAKGAAUUAUUAUAAAAAGCAAAGCUUUCAGUCAUGCGCAUUCUCUUAAGUUUCUGUAACGGUUGAUAACUAAGGAAGRAAAAAAACGUAAAUCAAGACUGCUACAAGUGGUUAGAUCCAGUGUAUUAGAAGAUAUCGGACUGGUUGCGUGCCUGCCAGCUAAUAGCAGUUUGCCUAACCCAACUACCCUUAGAAACUUAUCAUCUUUAAUAUUAGGAAAWUUCCAGCUGCAUUCUAAAGGAAUUUAAGGCUAAGAAAAGAGGCCUUGAUGUUGCCUCGAUAAAGCAGAAGUGACACACUCUA